rnacentral:lncRNA from 1 species
AUGCCUCCAGUGAGUCAUCCCGCCCUAAGCAACAUUCCAGAGGAUAGUCCCCUGAGGCCAUGGCUUGCCACAGCUUUUGAGCGUGGGCACAUACCCGAGACGCCACCUCCGCGUGAAGUUUGUUAAUACCAAAGCCAAGACCGUGCCACAUCAGAGCUUGCAGUCUUCCUGACAUGUGGUUUUGCUCGAUGCGAAUGCCGGCAGCAGCUGUAGAGGUAUAAGUGCAGGAGUUGUUCAAAAUUCAACUUGAAUGCAUACAUCUUUCAAUAUCUGAAGAAGAUGAGACUCACGUGCACGAACAGCUGCAGUGCGCCUCAUGACAACCUGUACUCAAUAUUUAAAGCGCCUGCACAGCACCCUCUGAGCUGUCGCCUGCUUCGAGCUAUUCUAGCAUGAGCAUGUAAACAUUGCGCAUAGCGCCUGUGUAACGCAUUUUUGCCAUGUUA